GACGAACGCUGGCGGCGUGCUUAACACAUGCAAGUCGAACGGAAAGGCUCCAGCUUGCUGGCGUACUCGAGUGGCGAACGGGUGAGUAACACGUGGGUAAUCUGCCCUGCACUCUGGGAUAAGCCUGGGAAACUGGGUCUAAUACUGGAUAUGACCUUUCUCCUUAUGGGGUUUGGUGGAAAGUUUUUCGGUGUAGGGUGAGCCCGCGGCCUAUCAGCUUGUUGGUGGGGUGAUGGCCUACCAAGGCGACGACGGGUAGCCGGCCUGAGAGGGUGAUCGGCCACAUUGGGACUGAGAUACGGCCCAGACUCCUACGGGAGGCAGCAGUGGGGAAUAUUGCACAAUGGGCGGAAGCCUGAUGCAGCGACGCCGCGUGAGGGAUGACGGCCUUCGGGUUGUAAACCUCUUUCAGCAGGGACGAAGCGUAAGUGACGGUACCUGCAGAAGAAGCACCGGCUAACUAUGUG
rnacentral:rRNA from 1 species